rnacentral:rRNA from 2 species
CAUAGGUUAAUGAGGCGAACCGGGGGAACUGAAACAUCUAAGUACCCCGAGGAAAAGAAAUCAACCGAGAUUCCCCCAGUAGCGGCGAGCGAACGGGGAGGAGCCCAGAGCCUGAAUCAGUGUGUGUGUUAGUGGAAGCGUCUGGAAAGGCGCGCGAUACAGGGUGACAGCCCCGUACACAAAAAUGCACAUAUUGUGAGCUCGAUGAGUAGGGCGGGACACGUGGUAUCCUGUCUGAAUAUGGGGGGACCAUCCUCCAAGGCUAAAUACUCCUGACUGACCGAUAGUGAACCAGUACCGUGAGGGAAAGGCGAAAAGAACCCCGGCGAGGGGAGUGAAAAAGAACCUGAAACCGUGUACGUACAAGCAGUGGGAGCCUCUUAAUGGGGUGACUGCGUACCUUUUGUAUAAUGGGUCAGCGACUUAUAUUCUGUAGCAAGGUUAACCGAAUAGGGGAGCCGAAGGGAAACCGAGUCUUAACUGGGCGUUAAGUUGCAGGGUAUAGACCCGAAACCCGGUGAUCUAGCCAUGGGCAGGUUGAAGGUUGGGUAACACUAACUGGAGGACCGAACCGACUAAUGUUGAAAAAUUAGCGGAUGACUUGUGGCUGGGGGUGAAAGGCCAAUCAAACCGGGAGAUAGCUGGUUCUCCCCGAAAGCUAUUUAGGUAGCGCCUCGUGAAUUCAUCUCCGGGGGUAGAGCACUGUUUCGGCAAGGGGGUCAUCCCGACUUACCAACCCGAUGCAAACUGCGAAUACCGGAGAAUGUUAUCACGGGAGACACACGGCGGGUGCUAACGUCCGUCGUGAAGAGGGAAACAACCCAGACCGCCAGCUAAGGUCCCAAAGUCAUGGUUAAGUGGGAAACGAUGUGGGAAGGCCCAGACAGCCAGGAUGUUGGCUUAGAAGCAGCCAUCAUUUAAAGAAAGCGUAAUAGCUCACUGGUCGAGUCGGCCUGCGCGGAAGAUGUAACGGGGCUAAACCAUG